rnacentral:siRNA from 1 species
CCUCGUUACUUGCCUCGUUUUGAU